rnacentral:lncRNA from 1 species
UGUUGUUUGUUUGUCCUUUUCAAUUUUUAGCCAUGGCGUUGUCGGUUUGUUUUAGAUUUAUGAGUUUGACUGUCCCUUUGGUAUCUUUCGUCCCUUUUUUAUUCUGAUGUGUGGACCACCUGCCAUGAUCAAUUUUGCUUGCCUACCGAACCUCAAAAAACUUGGGUACACACCCAAGAUGAGAUUUGCCUACUAAGACCAAUACUAAAUAUAACUUAUUAUUUGUAGUUUCAAUGACAAUAUAUAUUAGUGUAUUAUCAUGCCAAUGCGAGGUGAUGUUGCAAAGAAAAAGCUUGAAACGGUAGAAUUCUGUGGUAUUUAUUUAAGAUUUCGUUGCAAAAUUAUAACCAAAAAAAAAGCAUUUUGUCCUUUCUUUGAUAGGCAUUAAAUAUAUAAUAAAACCACAACAAAUAUUAUUAUGUAACAUAUUAGUCUAUAGAAACAAUUAAAAAAAAUAUGAUAAGAUAUUAUUUGAUUAUGUUUCUUGAAUUAUAUAAAAAAUUAACAGAAUGUUAAUAUAAACAAAUAGUAAUGUUAAAAAUAAUUCACUUUACAGAUUCUUUGUUUUUGUUCAGUAUACACUUUCUCUUGAGGUCAUAACUUCAAAAGACAAAAUGGGGCCUUAUGAUAUGAGUGAGGGAUGUUUACUAGUGUGGACGCAAAAACAAGGAAACUACUAUACUUGUGUAUAAUGUAUAUAAAGGAAUUUGGCCAAUAGAAAAGAGAAACAUGUUAUAGGGAAAUCUUUUUUUGAAAAUGUGUAUUUAUUUGUAAUAGGCUGAUGAGUAAAAGUGUGUGAAAAGUGCUACAUUAUUUUUGAUUGUGGUAAUGCAAAUAUUUGGUGCAAAAACACAAUAAAAGUAUACAAUGCAUAACAUAUACUUGCUAUAGUCAUAUUAGAUAAAAGAAAAGAAUUAGAUAUUGAUGGGAAUGAACAACUGUUUUUGAGCUUAUUUAUGCUCAAUGCUCUUCAACUUCGUACUUUAUUUGGCCUUUUUAAUGUUUUUGGAUUCGAGCGUCACUGAUGAGUGUUUUAUAGACGAAACGCGCGUCCGGCGUAUAUACAAAAUUUGGUCCUGGUAUCUAUGAUGAGUUUAUUUAUCUUAUUGUCAGAACAUUUUUAAUUUUUUUGAAUUGUUGAUUUAUACAAUGAUAUUGAAGAUGCAAACAAAAAGAUUGCAGAAAUUGUAUCUUUAUUGAAUAGGCGGUAUUUCGAAAUUGAUAUUUUUCAAAUGUCAAAUGUUGAAAAUAUCAAUGAUAAAAACAAUGGGUACAUGUUAUGUUUGGUGUAGGCAUUGCAUAGAUAUUAUAUAAAGUUUUUGUUACAAGCUUUUCUAUUAUUUUUAUCAAAAUUCUUUGAAUAUUUUGUACAAUGGGUGUUGUUCUUAGUAACUUAUGGCAAAAACAGACCCAGUUAAACAUGACUGAACUGAUAACAGAAGAG